GACGAACGCUGGCGGCGUGCCUAAUACAUGCCAGUAGAACGCUGAAGGAGGAGCUUGCUUCUCUGGAUGAGUUGCGAACGGGUGAGUAACGCGUAGGUAACCUGCCUGGUAGCGGGGGAUAACUAUUGGAAACGAUAGCUAAUACCGCAUAAUAGUAGAUGUUGCAUGACAUUUACUUAAAAGGUGCAAUUGCAUCACUACCAGAUGGACCUGCGUUGUAUUAGCUAGUUGGUGGGGUAACGGCUCACCAAGGCGACGAUACAGAGCCGACCUGCGAGGGUGGGCGGCCAAACUGGGAACGAGACACGGCCCAGACUUCUACGGGAGGGAGCAGGAGGGAAACGUCGGCAAUGGAGGAAAGUCUGAACGAGCAACGCCGGGGGAGGGAAGAAGGGUUUCGGGUCGUAAAGCUCGGUUGUAAGGGAAGAACGAGUGUGAGAGUGGAAAGUUCACACUGUGACGGUAUCUUAACAGAAAGGGACGGCUAACUACGUG
rnacentral:rRNA from 1 species